GAGUUUGAUCAUGGCCAGGAUGAACGCUGGCGGCGUGCUUAACACAUGCAAGUCGAACGGUGAAAGCGGAGCUUGCUCUGCUGGAUCAGUGGCGAACGGGUGAGUAACACGUGAGCAAUCUGCCCCUGACACUGGGAUAAGCGCUGGAAACGGCGUCUAAUACCGGAUACGAGCUGCGAAGGCAUCUUCAGCAGCUGGAAAGAAUUUCGGUCAGGGAUGAGCUCGCGGCCUAUCAGCUUGUUGGUGAGGUAACGGCUCACCAAGGCGUCGACGGGUAGCCGGCCUGAGAGGGUGACCGGCCACACUGGGACUGAGACCCGCCCCAGACUCCUACGGGAGGCAGCAGUGGGGAAUAUUGCACAAUGGGCGAAACCCUGAUGCAGCAACGCCGCGUGAGGGACGACGCCCUUCGGGUUGUAAACCUCUUUUACCAGGGGGGAAGCGAAAGUGACGGUACCUGCAGAAAAAGCACCGGCGGACUACGUGCCAGCAGCGCGGUA
rnacentral:rRNA from 1 species